rnacentral:rRNA from 1 species
GAUGAACGCUGGCGGCGUGCUUAACACAUGCAAGUCGAACGAUAAAGCCCAGCUUGCUGGGUGGAUUAGUGGCGAACGGGUGAGUAACACGUGAGUAACCUGCCCUUGACUCUGGGAUAAGCCCGGGAAACUGGGUCUAAUACCGGAUAGGAGCGCCUGUCGCAUGACGGGUGUUGGAAAGAUUUUUCGGUCAUGGAUGGACUCGCGGCCUAUCAGCUUGUUGGUGAGGUAAUGGCUCACCAAGGCGACGACGGGUAGCCGGCCUGAGAGGGUGACCGGCCACACUGGGACUGAGACACGGCCCAGACUCCUACGGGAGGCAGCAGUGGGGAAUAUUGCACAAUGGGCGGAAG